GCCGGGAUAGCUCAGCUGGGAGAGCAACAGACUGAAGAUCAUGCAUUCUGGAGGUCGCGUGUUCAAUCCACGCUCCUGGCA